rnacentral:rRNA from 1 species
AUGAACGCUGGCGGCGUGCCUAACACAUGCAAGUCGAGCGGAGAUAGAGGAAGUAGCAAUACGGAAUUUGUCUUAGCGGCGGACGGGUGAGUAACACGUGAGUAACCUGCCUUAUACUGGGGAAUAACACCGUGAAAACGGUGCUAAUACCGCAUAAUGUUGUCUUAUGGCAUCAUAGGACAACCAAAGGAGCAAUCCGGUAAAAGAUGGACUCGCGUCCGAUUAGCUAGUUGGUGAGGUAAUGGCCCACCAAGGCGACGAUCGGUAGCCGAACUGAGAGGUUGAUCGGCCACAUUGGGACUGAGACACGGCCCAGACUCCUACGGGAGGCAGCAGUGGGGAAUAUUGGGCAAUGGGCGAAAGCCUGACCCAGCAACGCCGCGUGAAGGAAGAAGGCCUUCGGGUUGUAAACUUCUUUGAUCAGGGACGAAAAAAAUGACGGUACCUGAAAAACAAGCCACGGCUAACUACGU